GAUGAACGCUAGCGACAGGCUUAACACAUGCAAGUCGAGGGGCAGCACGGGAGUAGCAAUACAACUGGUGGCGACCGGCGCACGGGUGAGUAACGCGUAUGCAACCUACCUAUCAGAGGGGAAUAACCCGGCGAAAGUCGGACUAAUACCGCAUAAAACAGGGGCACCGCAUGGUGAUAUUUGUUAAAGAAAUUCGCUGAUAGAUGGGCAUGCGUUCCAUUAGGUAGUUGGUGAGGUAACGGCUCACCAAGCCGACGAUGGAUAGGGGAACUGAGAGGUUGGUCCCCCACACUGGUACUGAGACACGGACCAGACUCCUACGGGAGGCAGCAGUGAGGAAUAUUGGUCAAUGGGCGGGAGCCUGAACCAGCCAAGUCGCGUGAAGGAAGAAGGAUCUAUGGUUCGUAAACUUCUUUUGCAGGGGAAUAAAGUGCAGGACGUGUCCUGUUUUGUAUGUACCCUGAGAAUAAGGAUCGGCUAACUCCGUGCCAGCCGCCGCCGUAAAAC
rnacentral:rRNA from 1 species